rnacentral:rRNA from 1 species
UAUAGAGUCAAGCGAAUAAGUGCACAUGGUGGAUGCCUUGGCAGUCAUAGGCGAUGAAGGACGUGGUAGCCUGCGAAAAGCUACGGGGAGCUGGCAAACAAGCUUUGAUCCGUAGAUGUCCGAAUGGGGAAACCCACCCUUUUAGGGGUAUCGCACAGUGAAUACAUAGCUGUGCGAGGCGAACCUGGAGAACUGAAACAUCUAAGUACCCAGAGGAAAAGAAAUCAACCGAGAUUCCGAGAGUAGUGGCGAGCGAAAUUGGAUCAGCCUGUACGAUUUAGCAUUUGAGUUAACAAAACGGUCUUGAAAGUCCGGCCAUAGAAGGUGAUAGCCCUGUAUGUGAAAACUCGAUUGUGGAACUAGGCGUACGACAAGUAGGGCGGGGCACGAGAAACCCUGUCUGAACAUGGGGGGACCAUCCUCCAAGGCUAAAUACUCAUGACUGACCGAUAGUGAACUAGUACCGUGAGGGAAAGGCGAAAAGAACCCCGGGAGGGGAGUGAAAUAGAUCCUGAAACCGUGUGCAUACAAACAGUCGGAGCCUCUUUAUGGGGUGACGGCGUACCUUUUGUAUAAUGGGUCAGCGACUUACAUUCAGUGGCAAGCUUAACCGAGUAGGGAAGGCGUAGCGAAAGCGAGUCCGAAUAGGGCGUCUAGUCGCUGGGUGUAGACCCGAAACCAGAUGAUCUAUCCAUGGCCAGGUUGAAGGUUGGGUAACACCAACUGGAGGACCGAACCCACUAACGUUGAAAAGUUAGGGGAUGAGCUGUGGAUAGGGGUGAAAGGCUAAACAAAUCUGGAAAUAGCUGGUUCUCCCCGAAAACUAUUUAGGUAGUGCCUCGAGUCUCACUACAGGGGGUAGAGCACUGUUAUGGCUAGGGGGUCAUCGCGACUUACCAAACCAUGGCAAACUCCGAAUACCUGUAAGUGCAAUCUCGGGAGACAGACAUCGGGUGCUAACGUCCGGUGUCAAGAGGGAAACAACCCAGACCGCCAGCUAAGGUCCCUAAUAUCUGCUAAGUGGAAAACGAAGUGGGAAGGCUAAAACAGUCAGGAGGUUGGCUUAGAAGCAGCCACCCUUUAAAGAAAGCGUAAUAGCUCACUGAUCGAGUCGUCCUGCGCGGAAGAUGUAACGGGGCUAAGCAGAUAACCGAAGCUGCGGAUGUACACGCAAGUGUAUGUGGUAGGGGAGCGUUCUGUAAGCCUGCGAAGGUGUGUUGUAAAGCAUGCUGGAGGUAUCAGAAGUGCGAAUGCUGACAUGAGUAGCGAUAAACAGAGUGAAAGGCUCUGUCGCCGUAAGCCCAAGGUUUCCUACGCAACGUUCAUCGGCGUAGGGUUAGUCGGCCCCUAAGGCGAGGCAGAAAUGCGUAGUCGAUGGGAAGCAGGUUAAUAUUCCUGCACCGACGUGUAAUGCGAUGGGGGGACGGAUCGUGGAAAGUGGUCCAGGUGUUGGAUAUCCUGGUCCCUGCAUCAUAGAGGACAGUUAGGCAAAUCCGGCUGUCAUAUACUCAAGGGUGUGGGGCGAAGUAGCUACGGCUACGAAGCCAUUGGAAGUGGUCCCAAGAAAAGCCUCUAAGCUUCAGUUACACGUUGACCGUACCGCAAACCGACACAGGUGGGCGGGAUGAGUAUUCUAAGGCGCUUGAGAGAACUCAGGAGAAGGAACUCGGCAAAUUGGUACCGUAACUUCGGGAGAAGGUACGCCCUUGUAGUUUGACCAUGAACAGUGGAAGGACGAAGGGGUUGCAAUAAAAUGGUGGCUGCGACUGUUUAAUAAAAACACAGCUCUCUGCAAACACGAAAGUGGACGUAUAGGGAGUGACGCCUGCCCGGUGCUGGAAGAUUAAAUGAUGGGGUGCAAGCUCUUGACUGAAGUCCCAGUAAACGGCGGCCGUAACUAUAACGGUCCUAAGGUAGCGAAAUUCCUUGUCGGGUAAGUUCCGACCUGCACGAAUGGCGUAACGAUGGCCACACUGUCUCCUCCUGAGACUCAGCGAAGUUGAAGUGUUUGUGAUGAUGCAAUCUCCCCGCGGCUAGACGGAAAGACCCCAUGAACCUUUACUGUAGCUUUGCAUUGGACUUUGAACCGGUUUGUGUAGGAUAGGUGGGAGGCUUUGAAGUGGGAACGCCAGUUCUCAUGGAGCCAUCCUUGAAAUACCACCCUGAUCUGUUUGAGGUUCUAACCUUGACCCAUUAUCUGGGCCGGGGACCGUGCAUGGUGGGCAGUUUGACUGGGGCGGUCUCCUCCUAAAGAGUAACGGAGGAGCUCGAAGGUACGCUAAGUACGGUCGGACAUCGUACUGAUAGUGCAAUGGCAUAAGCGUGCUUGACUGCGAGACUGACAAGUCGAGCAGGUGCGAAAGCAGGACAUAGUGAUCCGGUGGUUCUGUAUGGAAGGGCCAUCGCUCAACGGAUAAAAGGUACUCUGGGGAUAACAGGCUGAUACCGCCCAAGAGUUCACAUCGACGGCGGUGUUUGGCACCUCGAUGUCGGCUCAUCUCAUCCUGGGGCUGUAGCCGGUCCCAAGGGUAUGGCUGUUCGCCAUUUAAAGAGGUACGUGAGCUGGGUUUAAAACGUCGUGAGACAGUUUGGUCCCUAUCUGCCGUGGGCGUUGGAAAUUUGAAGGGGGCUGUUCCUAGUACGAGAGGACCGGAAUGGACGUAUCUCUGGUGUACCGGUUGUCACGCCAGUGGCAUUGCCGGGUAGCUAAAUACGGAAGAGAUAAACGCUGAAAGCAUCUAAGCGUGAAACUUGCCUUAAGAUAAGAUUUCCCUGAGGACUUGAUCCUCCUGAAGGGCCGUUGAAGACCACGACGUUGAUAGGCUGGGUGUGGAAGUGCAGUAAUGCAUUAAGCUAACCAGUACUAAUUGCCCGUGCGGCUUGGCUCUAUAGCA